UUCCAUCGAAUAAAUAUUAAUUAAAACGUGUACACGCAUAUAUAUAUAUAUAUAUAUAUAUUAGCCGUAAAUAUUUGAUAUUUAUGCUUGUUCAUCAUAUACCACAUAUGUGGAUGCACAUCCGAUUAUUUUAUUUUAUUUUUUUUUUUUUUUUUGAUUUAUUCACUUUUUACUUUUUUAGGAAUGGUUAAUAGAUAAAAAAAAAGACGUUUCUUUGUUAAACAUAAAACCUGAUGAGCGUAUUAAAAAUAUAUAUAGUGGUCCAAACAAUAUAAUAGUUAUAUAUGAGAAUGACGAUUUCGAAAUAGCCGGAUUAAAUGCUCAUGGUGAAUUAGGAUUAGGUGAUAAAAUAAAUAGAAAUAAAUUAACGAUAAAUUCCAUACUGUCAAAACAAAAAGUCUUAAAAAUUGCAUGUGGACAUAAGCAUAUAAUUGUUUUAAUGUUCAACCAUAACAUAUUUGUUUGGGGUGAUAACACAAAUGGUCAAUUAGGUAUCGGAUAUAAUACUAAAGAAAUUUUAUCGCCUCUUCUUAUUUAUUUUAAUGAUAAGGUUAUUGAUAUCGCAUGUGGUUAUGAUCAUUCGCUAUUUUUAACCGAGUGUGAAUAUAAAAGUGGGGGAAGUAGCGAUAGUCGUAGUAAUAGUGGUAGUAGUGCCGGUAGUAGUAGUAGUGGAGGUAGUAGUAGUAGUGGCGGUAGUAGUAGUGGCGGUAGUAGUAGUGGAGGUAGUAGUAGUGGAGGUAGUAGUAGUGGAGGUAGUAGUAGUGGAGGUAGUAGUAGUGGAGGUAGUAGUAGUGGAGGUAGUAAUAAAUAUAACUCAAAGGAUGUGCUAAAAGAACAUAAAAUAAACUCCUUGAUUGUAGGAGAGACGACAAAAAACAACUGCUUAAACACAAUUGACAUAAAUAUGAAUGAUGAAUUAAAUAACAAACAAAAGAAAGAAUUAAAUAAAAGUUAUAAUGAUAGUAGUAACGACAAGCUCGCUGGUAGUGCAAGAAGAAAAAGAAACGUUGAUGCCAUAAAGAAAAAAAAAAGUGAAUGUGAUAAUAAAAAAAUAAAACUUUGUUACAAUAUUUAUGCUUGUGGUUCAGGUUCAGGUGGUAAACUUGGAUUUAAAAGUGAAGAAAAUGUUUACUUUCCUAAAAAAGUUGUCAUAAAAAGAAAAAACAAAAAAAACAAAAAAGUAUUAAAUAUAGAUAGCAUAUAUUCUAGUUACAACUACAAUGGUUUAUUAACAACUAAUGGUGUGUUGUAUACUUGGGGAUAUAAUAAAAAUAAAGAAUUAAGUAAUAAAAAAUUAUUUUAUAAGUUUAAAAAAAUAAAUGUGAAUAAGGAAAAAGUUUCAAAAGUAUGUUUAGGUUUAUUAUAUUCAGCAUGUUUAACAACAAAUAAUAAUUUUUUUAUUUGGGGCAAUGACAUUAUUGGUAUAAAAAAAAUGAACAUAUCAAAUUAUAAAAUUAAAAAUUUUUCAUGUAACGAAAAUAAUAUUAUUAUAUUAACAGAAAAUAAUCAAUUGUUUUUACUAGAUUCAUUCAAAAAAGUACAAUCAUUAAAUAAGUUAAUAC
rnacentral:lncRNA from 1 species